rnacentral:rRNA from 1 species
CCCUUAGAUGUCCUGGGCCGCACGCGCGCUACACUGACAUGUUCAACAAGCCUCCUAGUUCGACAGGAUUUGGGAAAUCUUUGAACGCAUGUCGUGAUAGGGAUAGAUCAUUGCAAUUAUUGAUCUUGAACGAGGAAUUCCUAGUAAACGCGAGUCAUCAGCUCGCAUUGAUUACGUCCCUGCCCUUUGUACGCACCGCCCGUCGCACCUACCGAUUGAAUGUUUCGGUGAAGAUUCCGGAUAGGACUUUUUUGAUUUAUUUCAAUUCUGUCUUAAAAGCUAUCUAAACCUCAACAUUUAGAGGAAGGUGAAGUCGUAACA